UGAGGAAUAUUGGUCAAUGGACGAAAGUCUGAACCAGCCAUGCCGCGUGCAGGACGAAGGCCCUAUGGGUUGUAAACUGCUUUUCUAUGGGGAUAAACCUCCUUACGUGUAGGGAGCUGAAGGUACCAUAGGAAUAAGCACCGGCUAACUCCGUGCCAGCAGCCGCGGUAAUACGGAGGGUGCAAGCGUUAAUCCGGAUUUAUUGGGUUUAAAAGGGUCCGUAGGCGGACAAUUAAGUCAGUGGUGAAAUCCUGCGGCUCAACCGUAGAACUGCCAUUGAUACUGGUUGUCUAGAGUAUAGUUGAGGUGGGCGGAAUGUGACAUGUAGCGGUGAAAUGCAUAGAUAUGUCACAGAACACCUAUUGCGAAGGCAGCUCACUAAGCUAUUACUGACGCUGAGGGACGAAAGCGUGGGGAGCGAACAGGAUUAGGAUACCCUGGUAGUCCACGCCGUAAACGAUGAUCACUCGCUGUUGGCG
rnacentral:rRNA from 1 species